rnacentral:tRNA from 1 species
GUCCCUGUAACGCAAUGAAUUACGCGUUGGACUUCUAAUCCAAAUGUCAUGGUUUCAAAUCCCAACUGGGAUG